AGAGUUUGAUCAUGGCUCAGGGUGAACGCUGGCGGCGUGCCUAACACAUGCAAGUCGAGCGGGCCGGGGCUUCGGCCCCGGCUAGCGGCGAACGGCUGAGUAACACGUGGGUAACCUGCCCCCAAGUGGGGGAUAACCCUGGGAAACCGGGGCUAAUACCGCAUGUGGUUGCCGGGCGGAUGCUCGGCAACUAAAGGGCCCGCAAGGGCUCGCUUGGGGAGGGGCCCGCGGCCUAUCAGGUAGUUGGUGGGGUAAUGGCCCACCAAGCCGAUGACGGGUAGCUGGCCUGAGAGGGUGGUCAGCCAGACCGGGACUGAGACACGGCCCGGACUCCUACGGGAGGCAGCAGUGGGGGAUCUUGGGCAAUGGGCGAAAGCCUGACCCAGCGACGCCGCGUGGAGGAAGAAGCCCUUCGGGGUGUAAACUCCUUUUGCCGGGGAAGAAACCUGACGGUACCCGGCGAAUAAGGGCCUGCUAACUACGUGCCAGCAGCCGCGGUAAUACGUAGGGCCCGAGCGUUACCCGGAUUUACUGGGCGUAAAGGGUCCGCAGGCGGCCCGGCAAGUCGGGCGUGAAAUUCCUCGGCUUAACCGAGGAGCUGCGUCCGAUACUACCGGGCUCGAGGACGGGAGAGGGAGGUGGAAUUCCCGGAGUAGCGGUGAAAUGCGUAGAUACCGGGAGGAACACCGGUGGCGAAGGCGGCCUCCUGGCCCGUUCCUGACGCUCAGGGACGAAAGCGUGGGGAGCGAACCGGAUUAGAUACCCUGGUAGUCAAGGGCGAAUUCGUU
rnacentral:rRNA from 1 species